UACAGAGGGUGCAAGCGUUAAUCGGAAUUACUGGGCGUAAAGGGUGCGUAGGUGGUUCGGUAAGUUGGUUGUGAAAUCCCUGGGCUUAACCUAGGAAUUGCAGUCAAAACUGCCAGACUAGAGUAGAAUAGAGGGUAGUAGAAUUUCCGGUGUAGCGGUGAAAUGCGUAGAUAUCGGAAGGAACACCAGUGGCGAAGGCGACUACCUGGAUUCAUACUGACACUGAGGCACGAAAGCGUGGGGAGCAAACAGG
rnacentral:rRNA from 1 species